rnacentral:rRNA from 1 species
GACGAACGCUGGCGGCGUGCUUAACACAUGCAAGUCGAACGGUGAAGCGCCUUCCUUUUUGGUGGGUGUGGAUGAGUGGCGAACGGGUGAGUAACACGUGAGUAACCUGCCCCCUUCUUCUGGAUAACCGCAUGAAAGUGUGGCUAAUACGGGAUAUUCUGGGUCUGUCGCAUGAUGGGUCUGGGAAAGAUAUUGUUUCGGUGGGGGAUGGGCUCGCGGCCUAUCAGCUUGUUGGUGGGGUGAUGGCCUACCAAGGCGGUGACGGGUAGCCGGCCUGAGAGGGCGGACGGUCACACUGGGACUGAGACACGGCCCAGACUCCUACGGGAGGCAGCAGUGGGGAAUAUUGCGCAAUGGGCGCAAGCCUGAUGCAGCGACGCCGCGUGAGGGAUGGAGGCCUUCGGGUUGUGAACCUCUUUCGCCAGUGAAGCAGGCCUGCCUCGUUUGUGGGUGGGUUGACGGUAGCUGGAUAAGAAGCGCCGGCUAACUACGU